GGUUAUGCUCCCUACCUCAGCCGGCUUGUGGCCGACUGGCAAGGCCGUGACAGUGAGAGCGACCAGCUGUUUUAUACCAACGUGUUCCUGGACCCUGAAAAGCGGAGGACCAUCAAUAUCACUUUGGAUCACAGGUGCCGGAUCUUCCAAAAUCUUAAUGGCGCUCUAGACGAAGUGGCUCUGAAAUUCGAAAACGGCCAGGUGAGAGUGCGGAAUCUGGCGUUUGAUACCCUCCCAGUUGUGAUUCAUGGAAACGGACCCACC